rnacentral:rRNA from 1 species
CACGCAGGCGGACUGAUAAGUCGGGGGUGAAAGCCCGGGGCUCAACCUCGGAACUGCCUUCGAUACUGCCAGUCUUGAGUCCGGGAGAGGUGAGUGGAAUUCCUAGUGUAGAGGUGAAAUUCGUAGAUAUUAGGAAGAACACCAGUGGCGAAGGCGACUCACUGGCCCGGUACUGACGCUCAGGUGCGAAAGCGUGGGGAGCAAACAGGAUUAGAUACCCUGGUAGUCCACGCCGUAAACGAUGGAUGCUAGCCGUUGGGCAGCUUGCUGUUCAGUGGCGCAGCUAACGCUUUAAGCAUCCCGCCUGGGGAGUACGGCCGCAAGGUUAAA